UAACAUUUUUUCCUUAGUUUGUGUUUGCUCAUUGUUAAAAGAACUUCAAUUGUCUAUAACUUUAUUUACUCAUAAUUUUUGUAGAAUCUUCCAGUAGUUUAAAUUCUAUCUGGGUAACUAAUAUAUGUACCGUAUUUAUAACUUUUAGAAACAUGAAUACACGAUGUUUUGACAAUAUAAAGACAAAGAUAUAACUUAAUAUAUAAUCUGAGCCUAAUUUCAAAAAAAAAAAAAAACUUAAUAUAAAAUCUGAUGAGGUUAUCUAUAUUACUUCGAUGUCCAAAUAUAAUAACCGAUACAAUAUGAGAAUAUUCAAAGUUCAUGUAUGUGUGUUGUAACGCCUGAUUAGAUAACUAUGGCCUGAACCAUAUUAAUACAGUCUCU
rnacentral:lncRNA from 1 species